CCUAGUUUUAUGUUUUUGAGUCAGUUUUAAGUAGAUUAGAAAUCCUUCCUAAUCCCCAGCCUAGAACGAUCCCUACUUACAUCUUUACUACAAUUGUCAAUAAGAGGGUUUAAUUUGAGUGCUAGUUUAUAACACAUCACUAAGUGCCUGUCGGACUCAUCGAUGGGCCCGGAUAACUGACGAGGGAGAGGUGUCUGCUUCGACUUCCACCGUAGAUGGAGAGGGAGCCAACACAUGGGCCCAUGUAGACUCAUGGGCACCUCACAGCUCACCCGUACCACCCAAGAGCGUAUAAAGAUUACGUGGGAUGCUCGACAUCGGGAGGCAUCAACAAACGAGUAGCACAACCAUUUGGUCCACAAUAUUGGCUCCAAUGUGCAUUGCCAUUGCCCCAUGUAGUGGAAGUCUUGGAGACUUGUCCCCAUAAGACUAAGGACGCCAUUCUUCAUGAGCAAUCACAUCCCUAUGAGCUUGAGGACCUUGAUGCCAAUCAAACCAAAUAAAUCCAGGAACUUUUCACUGGCAGGUUCACUUAGUGAAAGAGUGACCUCCACAAGUAUUUCCAAAAAUUCGACGAUCCAGCUAUCGCUUAGCACAUGGGUGCCACAUAGAGUUGGUGAAGCACCCUAAAAAUUGGGCUUGGCUUUGCACCCAUUUUCAGGACGAAAAAUACUUGACAGGGUCGAAGUUUCCUAAGAUUGACACGUUCAAGAAGGUGUACGUGCCGCCUGGUGAUGAGUUGACGAAGGAGCUCCAUGCUACUAUGGUUGAAAGGAGUCAGGCUGUCCUCGAGGAAGUGGCUUCCCAACUUCCCCUUGACACCUUGGUGAAGGAGUUGCCCCCCUUAAGGAUGUGGGUCUCUGUAUCAUGAUAGAUACCCUCGACCAGAAACUAGGUCUUAGGCUGGCGAAGAUGUAUCGGGGCAUGGGAAAUCCCCGCCAUCAUGAGACAGGAGCCUCCUCUUCCACCUCCACCUCAGGACAGGUUGCAUCAUUGACGGAGCAAGUAGAGGAAUUCCAGUGACAGGUGACGGCCCAAAAUCAGCACAUUGCGAUGCAGAUUACCCAUAUCGCCACCCAGCAUGCUCAUAUUACUACCCAAGAGUCUAGGAUGGCCCAGAUCAUCACCGCACUUUUGAGGGGAGGCUUCGACAUCCCCGCUGCUACACCUCCUCCUACUACACCUUCUACCAACUAGACCCUCGACCCAGCACAACCGACUGCCGGAGCUGACUCUGAGAACUUUUUUAUUUUUUUUUUAAUUAAACAUUUGUGACAUCCCACAUCGCCCAGGGGAAUGAUCCUUAAAUAUAUAUUCCCAUCUCUACCUAGCACGAGGCCUU